UGGGGAAUUUUCCGCAAUGGGCGAAAGCCUGACGGAGCAACGCCGCGUGAGGGAUGAAGGCCUCUGGGCUGUAAACCUCUUUUAUCAAGGAAGAAGAUCUGACGGUACUUGAUGAAUAAGCCACGGCUAAUUCCGUGCCAGCAGCCGCGGUAAUACGGGAGUGGCAAGCGUUAUCCGGAAUUAUUGGGCGUAAAGCGUCCGCAGGCGGCCUCGUAGGUCUGUCGUUAAAGCGUGGAGCUUAACUCCAUUUCAGCGAUGGAAACUGCGAGGCUAGAGUGUGGUAGGGGCAGAGGGAAUUCCCGGUGUAGCGGUGAAAUGCGUAGAUAUCGGGAAGAACACCAGUGGCGAAGGCGCUCUGCUGGGCCAUAACUGACGCUCAUGGACGAAAGCCAGGGGAGCGAAAGGGAUUAGAUACCCCUGUAGUC
rnacentral:rRNA from 1 species